rnacentral:rRNA from 1 species
AACGCGAAGAACCUUACCUGGUCUUGACAUCCACGGAAGUUUUCAGAGAUGAGAAUGUGCCUUCGGGAACCGUGAGACAGGUGCUGCAUGGCUGUCGUCAGCUCGUGUUGUGAAAUGUUGGGUUAAGUCCCGCAACGAGCGCAACCCUUUUCCUUACUUGCCAGCAUUUCGGAUGGGAACUUUAAGGAUACUGCCAGUGACAAACUGGAGGAAGGCGGGGACGACGUCAAGUCAUCAUGGCCCUUACGGCCAGGGCUACACACGUGCUACAAUGGUCGGUACAAAGGGUUGCUACACAGCGAUGUGAUGCUAAUCUCAAAAAGCCGAUCGUAGUCCGGAUUGGAGUCUGCAACUCGACUCCAUGAAGUCGGAAUCGCUAGUAAUCGCGGAUCAGAAUGCCGCGGUGAAUACGUUCCCGGGUCUUGUACACACCG